GGCGGAGGCUCCGCCCCCCCCCCGGCCUGUGGGGGCGGUGGCGGGAAUGGAUCCGGCGGGAAUGGAGCCUGCCGGGAGCCGGCGGGGUUGGAUGAGAUUCACAGACUGUUCUGAGCUAGAAGGGAUCCACAAGGAUCCUCAAGUCCUAAGUAAAUAUCCCAUAUGGGGAUUGCACCCACCACUUUGGUGUUUCCAGCUCCACGUUCUGACCAACUGCAACUCUGGAAGAUUAACAAAUAUAACUACAAAUAUUGAUGUGUUCUUUCAAUGAACCCACACAUGACCAUGAGGGCAUCCCAACAUCCCAGCUGUAUGCUGCUCUGCUUGAGGAUUUUGAAGCCCAGAUUGCCUGGUCUGGUGGAAAUAUUUCUGGUGGAGCUCUUCCAUUUCACAAACAGGAUCAAAAGUAAGAUCAGGAGACACCUGGCUCAAAUCUGUGAAACUGAUAUGGCAUGUUGAAUUUCAGGCUGCCCUAAAAUGGACCAAGGUAAAAAUGAGCUUUCAAGAUGAAAAUAAUAAAAACAGAGAAAAUCUUGUAAAAAAAUUACUCUCUUGUUGCCUGUGUGCCUGUGCCUUAAAAUAAGAGUUCUUGCUGUUGUGACAGGAGCUCAAGCAUCUCACUCCUGAGAAAUGAGCACCUUGUUUGGAGAAGUAGCAGCUUCUUUUCAACUCAAGGAACCCUGCAGUGCUGACUUCUUUCUCUUCCAUAUUCCAAGAGAAAGGACAGAUAAACCCAGUGUAUGCCUCUUAGCAUCUGUCACGUUUCCAGGGUUAGAACCGAGACAUUUGCUGGGGAAAUUAAAAGCCCCUAUGGCUCAGUCAAGGUGUAAACAUCAUAGGAAAAUCAGUUGAAAGCUGGAUCUAAAGGCUCACCUCACCCUAUGGAGGAUGCUCAUGCCUUAAGCUGGGUUCUGAGAGAAAACAGCAUUUCUGAAUGUGUGGAAUGCAGCACUAGAGCUGAAAGAUGCUGAGAAAAUCCAUUUAAGGAGUCAUGAUGUGGAUCAUGGCUUUAAAUGUGUUUAUUGUCACAUGGCUGAGUAGAUCUUAAUGGAAAAUCAUUGAAAAUCACACAUGUGGAUGAAAGAAACCUUCCAGUGCUUCAUCUGUGAAAGUGCUUUUAUAUCACUUUAUAAAGUGCCUGGAAAGUGCACAGAAACAGCCAUCAGAGGAAACCUCAUCUCAGUGCACAGCAUCUGAAACUGAGCAGAUAAGCAAUCUUCAUGUAGCUUCUUGGCAUUAUCAGGAUAUACGCAGUGAUUUUACCAACCAAAUUUAGACUGUCAGCAGAUAUGCACAGAAGAAAAUGGACACGUAAAGGGUGUUGUGUCUGCCACUAAAAAUAAUCCUUUGAAGCUUGGCUACUGCAACAAACCACAGCUUUUAAUACAACUAAGGAAUGGAUCAAGGUCUGGAAGCAUCUGUGCAAGCACAGACCCUUCAGAGUUACUGGCUUCAGCUCCCUCACAUCAUCCUUACAUGUGUUGGUGGUGUCUUGACUGAACCACGCUGGUGUACACUGGAUUGGAGCCUCAGGUUAAAAAAACCCCAAGCAACACAACAAAUGAACAAACAAAAACCAACUCCAAUUACUUUUCUUGAGAAGCUCUACUUUAUGUGUUGCACAAACAUAGCACAGAAUGAGGAGCAAGGUUUAUGUUCUCUACAGCUUUGUCUUUCCUCACCUGAAAGUUUCAUAUCUCAGAUUUUUAAGUCUUCCCAUCACUGAUGGUAUUACAAAAUAUUGGUGUAGUGUAUUUUAUUUUAUUUUUUUUUUAAUUAGUUUACUUAAGCUUAGUAAGCUUAUUUCUUAAAUGGCAAUCCAGAGAAGAGUUGAAGGAGCAUAUGGAAAAUUACAGAACUGCUACCACCCUUUUGUCUUCAUUUUGGGAUCAGGUAUUCAAAACCAGACAUCAAUUGAGUGGACAUCACAAGCAAAACCACAAAUGGAAGAGAAGGAAGAAGCCUGAAGAUAAUCCUGUGUGUUUCAACACAAAAGCAACUUGAAAGAAGGAUUCAAGCUAAUUUAAAUGUAACAUGUACAGUAGGUAUGAUCUGUAUUAUAGCAAAGCUUGCUAUUUUGUUUCUUAAUUAUAGAAUAUUUAGUAAUCUGGCACAUCUCUCUAUUUGCUGAUUUACUUACAUAUUUUUGUAACAAAGUUGCUUUUUGAUAGCCUGAACAAAAAUAAAAUUAGCUGCCUCCUUCUUGAUUUGUGAUAGUACCAGUCUUUGGAAUAAAGUAAGCAUGUGCUGAUCAAAAAGUGCAGCUAUGGUUUUCUGCUGUAGUUUGUUACAGGCAAUAACAAAGUACAGGUGCUGAAAUGGGUUCUUUCAGGAGCCAAGAGAAAUGCUGUGAGACUUCUUGGAAUGCUGCAAGUUAACUAGGUGAAAAAACAGCUUCCUUUGGGUCAUGGCUGCAUUUUUAAGAGGAAUAUUAACUGAAGCACCAAUUUUAUCAGUUAAUGUAAAAUUCUACUUAUUUGCACUUUGUAAGAAUUAAUACCAAGACUUUGCCCGACCUCAAGUGCAUCCUUUCUUCCAAAGAGAUUUUGAGAAGGCGUUUGAUGAUUUCCUGUUAUUCAGAAAAGAUCUCUUUUUCUUUGAUAAAGAAGAUAAUAAUCUCUAGCCAUCACCUGUCCAUGAGUUGACAUUGCAAAAUAUCAAAAUCUGAUAGCUUUUCUAAUAUUUAGGUAGAGAAACUUGAGUACCUCUCUUUCUCUGGGUUUCUUCUAAGUAUGUACAUUUGGCUGGGGAUGUUUUCUCUUUUUGUUGUUGUUUACAGCCAUACGUGUCUGUUACAUUGUCAGAAAACAUUUUUACAAUAGUUUGACUAGAGAAGUCACUUUCACAGUUGUGUAUCAUAAAUAAACUCAAAUCAUCAAUGCUUUUUCCCCAAA